rnacentral:rRNA from 1 species
ACGUAUGGACUUAGCAGAGAUGCUUUGGUGCCUUCGGGAACUAUGAGACAGGUGCUGCAUGGCUGUCGUCAGCUCGUGUUGUGAAAUGUUGGGUUAAGUCCCGCAACGAGCGCAACCCUUAUCCUUGUUUGCCAGCGAGUAAUGUCGGGAACUCCAGGGAGACUGCCGGUGAUAAACCGGAGGAAGGUGGGGACAACGUCAAGUCAUCAUGGCCCUUACGAGUAGGGCUACACACGUGCUACAAUGGCGUAUACAGAGGGCUGCCAACCAGCGAUGGUGAGCGAAUCCCAAAAAGUGCGUCGUAUUCCGGAUUGGAGUCUGCAACUCGACUCCAUGAAGUCGGAAUCGCUAGUAAUCGUGGAUCAAAAUGCCACGGUGAAUACGUUCCCGGGUCUUGUACACACCGA